UACGAAGGGGGCUAGCGUUGUUCGGAAUCACUGGGCGUAAAGCGCACGUAGGCGGUCUUUUAAGUCGGUGGUGAAAUCCUGGAGCUCAACUCCAGAACUGCCUUCGAUACUGGAAGACUUGAGUCCGGGAGAGGUGAGUGGAACUGCGAGUGUAGAGGUGAAAUUCGUAGAUAUUCGCAAGAACACCAGUGGCGAAGGCGGCUCACUGGCCCGGUACUGACGCUGAGGCACGAAAGCGUGGGGAGCAAACAGG
rnacentral:rRNA from 1 species